GUAGGUGGCAAGCGUUGUCCGGAAUUAUUGGGGCGUAAAGCGCGCGCAGGUGGGUUCUUUAAGUCUGAUGUGAAAGCCCCCGGGCUCAACCGGGGAGGGUCAUUGGAAACUGGGGAACUUGAGUGCAGGAGAGGAAAGUGGAAUUCCACGUGUAGCGGUGAAAUGCGUAGAUAUGUGGAGGAACACCAGCGGCGAAGGCGACUUUCUGGCCUGUAACUGACACUGAGGCGCGAAAGCGUGGGGAGCAAACAGGAUUAGAUACCCUGGUAGUCCACGCCGUAAACGAUGAGUGCUAAGUGUUGGGGGGUUUCCGCCCCUCAGUGCUGCAGCUAACGCAUUAAGCACUCCGCCUGGGGAGUACGGUCGCAAGACUG
rnacentral:rRNA from 1 species